UUAUCCUAUGUUUCUUCUUCCUGUGUUGUUUGUGUCAGUUAUCUGACCAGAGAAAAUGUGAUGAAAAAUAUAUCAUCAAACGGAAAUGAAGAGUGGCUAUGACGUAUUGUGAUAUGCAUACUGCAAUUCUUCAAAAGGCGAUCGUUAUUUAACAUUGGAAAGGUGACUAUUUACAAAUAGUGAGAAAGCGUCGAUUAAUCAAUAUACCGGAGGCCACAACUGAAAAACCGGCAGAAUAAAAUUCAUCGCUAUACGGCCGCUUUGAAGAAGCCUUUUCAUCUUCCUAAAAGUGACGGUGAAAUUCAAGGAAAUCAAUGUUAAUAUAUAAAGGAAGCCUCAUUUAAAUAGAUCCAGCUAAAUAUCUCCGAAACUAUUGUUAAUACGAAACAAUGAUUCAGAUAAUAGUUCGAUGGUCGAAAGGAACAUAAUCCGUUGCAGGUUUCCUUCAGAAAAGUAAGAGGAGUUAAACGUGACAGUGCUCCCUCCCUCUCUCUGUCUCUCUCUCUCUCUUUCUCUUUCUCUCUUUCUCUUUCAUCCGCUUGUUCCAUUGUCUCCGUUCAUCCAUCUCCCUCUUGCCUUUCCUCUUCCUGUUUCCCUCUUUGCGAUGUCACUUCGACAUUCUUUUUCAAGGGACGCUGGUUCGAUAUUAGGAAAUACCU